ensembl:lncRNA
CCAUCACCUAGAGAUAGGUUUGUAAUAAAUAUUUUUAUAUUCAGAAAAUUGCGGUCAUUCAGUUCUUUUUUUUCUUGCACGUUCCCUCUGACUUCCGGGAUCUUAAUUCCCUCCGGAGAGUCAAACCUGGGCAGCGGCAGUGACACACCGAGUCCUAACAACUGGACAGCCAGGGAAUUCCCUAUUUUUUCUUAAUAUAUUAUAAAGGUCUUUCCAGCAUCCAUUUUACAGCGUACCACAACGUCCUGCCACAGGUGAUCAUUCAUCCAGCCAGUCCCGCUGGACGUAUCCCGGUCGUGUCCAGGUCGGUAACGAUCCUCUCAAAAGCCUUGGGUGAGAUAGCGGCUCCGCGGGAGGUCACCGCUCCCAACAUUUCCCCCCGGCGCUCAGGCAUCCUCAUCGACACCAGGCAACGCCACUGAAAAGAAAAUAUUGACAACGUCCCCACCACCACCACGCUUCAUCCGCCGGCACACCCUCCGCGUGUUUUCUCCUGGGGGCUGCCACCGCUAGCCUGGAGGACCGGUCCAGAGAUGCCCCCUCCCCCGCCCCGCGUGGCUGAUGCUCCGGACGGACCAGAGGCGGCGCGCCCGGAAGCUGUCCGGCCCAACGGACCCAGGACGCCCACCCAGGCCCUUUGCAGCCGGGGCACCGGCUCCAAAGUGACUUCUGCUGGGGGCAGGGAGGAUCCCUCAGUGGCGAUCCGGCAGAUCGCUGGCUAUCCGAGAUCCGUGCUCCCAGUCCUUCUCCGACAGACCUUCCGACCCAAGUCGCAGACCUUCCUCCUCGGUGUCUGAUUUCCCCCAGCAGGUACCGCUUCCAAGACACCACGUGACCCACUGUUUAUUAAGAUCUAUGGCUUCUCCCCCUACCCUCCUGCUCCGUAACUUAGGCUCAAGUAGGCGGGGGCAGCGGUUUUUUGUCUGUUUCCGCAGGGGAGGCGCUCCGGGCGGACAGCAAGGGGUGCGGGACGCGAAGCCCCGGCAAGGGGCGGAGAUGAGGGGACCCCGAGCGCCGAGCCGGAGGUCCGGCGGAGCUUAGGCCCGAGAAGGAGGCGCAGGACAGAGAACACGGAUGGGAAAGGGACAAGAGAAAGCGGGAAGGAGGGAAUUCGACCGAGGGUGCGGAGAAUGUGGGCAGGCUGGCCCCGCGCGACCUGGCCCCGCACCUGCCAGGAGCGCAGGGACACGGCGACCGGCAUUUUCUGGAGGAGCAGUGCCUUCUUUCUGUCCACGUGAGGACGCGCGGCCAGAAGUCUGGGGGCUCCGGCCGGACGAAGGCGGAGCCGGGUGGGGCGGAGGGAGGGCUGGAAGUGUCGCGGCGAGCAGAGGGCGCAGGCGCG